UCAAACUUGGUCAUUUAGAGGAAGUAAAAGUCGUAACAAGGUUUCCGUAGGUGAACCUGCGGAAGGAUCAUUACUGAGAGCGUGCGUAACAGCAUGCGUUCAUGUGCGUGGGGUCCUUGCCUCGGCGGGGGCCUCACCUUGGCCAGUGUCUUGUGUGAGCGGCUGGGGGUGUAUGCUUGGCGGGAGUAAUGGUGCGCGUCUGGGGCCGAGUGCAUAUUGUGCCGCCCUGCGCCCAUGCCCGCCAGAGUUUUUUCUAAACCACAACUGAAGUACCGAGUGAAAUUACAUAUCUAUUAAAAACAACUGUUGGCAACGGAUCACUCGGCUCUCGCAUCGAUGAAGAACGCAGC
rnacentral:misc_RNA from 1 species